rnacentral:lncRNA from 12 species
AUGCUUUAUCGUCCCCUAAACCAACACCUGCAGGUAAUAAGUUAUUCUUUUUCCCAGCUAUUUCCUGCUGCAGGUAUGAGGCCGCAUGUGGAACGGUCCUGUUUUGUAAUUUUCACUCUAUCCGACAGAGUUGACAAUACUUUCAUUCCCCUGAAAACCAUGGUCUCUGGCAUAUUGAAAUGUCACAUCAGGUCCUGGGUGGAUACAGGAGGACACAGCCCUCAUGAACAACGAAAUGAUUUAGACCAGCAUGUUCUAAGGGACACGAAAGGUCUAGGCAAGAAGAGGUCGCAGCCAACAACUCAGUUCCUGCUGUGGAAAACAAAAGUGUUGAUUCCAAAAAAAAAAAAAAAUCAAGAUAGUAAUCUGCAUCAGAGACUUUGUUUUCACCUCUGAUCUUGGCCUUUCUCCAGAGAUAAGGAAGAGAAGUUGCCCAAAAACAAUUCUCACUGAAGGACCAGCCAAGACCCAGAGAAUCGUGUCUGGUAACUUUUGGUUCCAAGUGCACCCUCUGUGCCACUGCCACAGAGCCAGGAAAGCACCUGGGCCUGAGGCAGGGGGUGAGCCUGAGGUCCGGGAGGCAUCUGGGUACCGUCCUGGACCCUGGGAAGUUGUGGAUGGUCCUCCUGGGGCUCUCUUCAUGGUCCACGGACAGAGGGCUUCGCUGAAGGCAGAUGAAACCUUCAGGGCCGACGUGCAUCGCCUGCCCUCCUAGUGUCGCCUGCACACCCAAGAAUUACAGCUGCCUUGAACCGGCUGCGUCAGCCAAGUUCCAUUCCAGGACUGGAGGUGUUCUCAGGCGCUCAGCCUCCUGCCCCCUCUGAGGAAUCCCGCAGCCCCCGCUUCCCUGUGUGCAGGGCAGUCACGUGUGUUCCAUCAGGUUCUGUUCUGCAAUGAGCCACCUGCUGAGAGUCCCACUGACUUUGCCUGGGCAGCCAGCACCCUGGAGCAGCGGGGGAUCAGGGCACUUCUCUCUGGGUGCUGCCCUCAGGGGUCAGAGCUGCCUCCUGUCCGCCUGCGCUAAAUGCGGCUUCUCGAGAGAGACAGAGAGGCCCGCUGUGCAGUAUUGUCCUGUGCUCACCCAGCACACAGAGCAUUUCCCCAGGAUCUCAGAUGCGGUGACGCGCCACACGUCCCAUGGCCAGG